rnacentral:rRNA from 1 species
GGGCCCGCACAAGCGGUGGAGCAUGUGCUUUAAUUCGAUGCAACGCGAAGAACCUUACCUAGGCUUGACAUGGGAGUGAAAUCUCGUAGAAAUAUGAGACCUUCCGCAAGGAACACUCUACACAGGUGCUGCAUGGUUGUCGUCAGCUCGUGUCGUGAGAUGUUGGGUUAAGUCCCGCAACGAGCGCAACCCUCGCCCUUAGUUGCUAACAGGUUAUGCUGAGAACUCUAAGGGGACUGCCUAGUUUAACUAGGAGGAAGGUGGGGAUGACGUCAAAUCCUCAUGGCCCUUACGCCUAGGGCUAGACACGUGCUACAAUGGUCGGUACAACGGGAUGCGAAACAGUGAUGUCGAGCAAAUCCCAAAAAACCGAUCUCAGUUCGGAUUGGAGUCUGCAAUUCGACUCCAUGAAGCUGGAAUCGCUAGUAAUCGCGGAUCAGCAUGCCGCGGUGAAUACGUUCCCGGGCCUU